GCCCCCAGUUCGGGCGGGGUCCCCGGUUGAAUUUACGCAUACCAAUAACCGGAGGGGAGGAAACUUACGAGGAUUCCCCUAGU
rnacentral:rRNA from 1 species